GUCUGCUUAGCUUAAUGGUCAAGCACCCAAGAACAGUAUGUGAUUACCAGCGUUAUUUGGAAGUUGCAAGUUCGAAUCUUGCAGUGGACA